rnacentral:pre_miRNA from 1 species
UCUUACGGAUGAGCAAAGAAAGUGAUUUCUUCAGAUGGAAACUACUCCUCAUGGAGAUGCUGGGAA